rnacentral:lncRNA from 1 species
AUGCAUUUAAUAAAUGAGCUGAAGGACCAAAGAAUGUCAUGUUUUGAAGACUUAGCUACAGACAAUCCAGGACGCUGUUUGGCAGUGCCUGCAUCCCAGGAGAAGAGUGCCAGAGGGACAAACCAGCCGCUAGUAGUACCUGGUGAUCAAAGAGGUGCUGACAGCAUUCAUUCGAACUCACAAAUUAAGGACUUACUUGCUGGAAGAGUAUGGAGCCUUGUACGCACCGUUGGGCUUUUUGUGACUCCUGUAUACCUUUGUAUCUAUAUUGUGCCUCUCUUUUCCUCUGCCAACAAUGCCUCGUUUCCAAACAUCCCUCUGAAGUAUGGAAGCCGGUAUUAGUUUCUUGUGCUUCUCUCUCUUUGGGAAUAAUGCAUUCCUACUCAUUGGUUGCUGCUGCUUCUGUGCCUUUAUUUUUCAGUACCUAGUCACUGGCAGGUGGGUAUGAGUUUGCAUGUUCCUAAAAAAUCAUUGAUUUCCCAGCUGAUUGUAGAGCCUGCUCAGAUGAGCCUACGCUGCAGGAAGGAGCUAUGAGCUUUGGCACCAAGGUCCUGUGUCAUGGAGAUCUUGACUGUCACGCGACAAGGAUGCGGUGAAGUGCCCCAAAUUCUGGUGGGAGCGUCAGAGGGGAAACUCCACGUGGAAACGCUGUCGAGAAAGCAGAGUUGCACAGGCGGCUUCCCUGAACCCUGACAGAACAGCAGAUGCACCGAGGACAAAGCCGCUCCUGAAUGGUCACAGUCAGGGUAUUCGUAAGAAGCAAUUGUUUGGGAUUUUCACAGACACAAAAACUAGGGAGCAGCUGUCUCCAAGACCAGAUUCAACUCAAAAACAGCUAGAUCUUUGAAAGAAACCAGCCCUUAAGCCUCGGGUCCUAAAGGCUUAGGAUCAGUUGGAGGUAGAUUAAUUGAAAUUACUGAAAAAAGACAAAAUAAAGAAUACAGCAGAUCUGCCCA